UAUGCUUAUACGUGUGUGUGUGUGUGUGUGUAUCAACUAUAUAUAAUGCUAGAUACAGGUAGUAAAACUUUACGUUAAAUGCAACAAUAUUUUAGGUAUCAUUCUGCAACCUGCCUUUUCACUCAACACUGUUUUUGAGAAUUACCUGUGUCGAUAUAUGCUGCUUUUGAAAUUUACAUAUGUUGACAGUUGUAGUUCUAGUUCAAUUUUUUUUUUUUUUUUGAGACAAAGUCUCGCUCUGUCACUCAGGCUGGAGUGCAAUGGCACAAUCUUGGCUCACCGCAACCUCCACCUUCUGGGUUCAAGUGAUUCUCCUGCCUCAGCCUCCUGAGUAGGUGGGAUUACAGGUGUCUGCCACCAUGCCCAGUUAAUUUUUUUAUUUUUAGUAGGGACAAGGUUUCACCAUGUUGUCCAGGCUAGUCUCAAACUCCUGACCUCAAGUGAUCCUCCUACCUCAGCCUCCCAAAGUGCUAGGAUUACAGGCAUGAGCCACCACGCCUAGCCCUAGUUCAACCAUUUUAAUUCCUGUAUAGUAUUCCAUUGUUUGAAUAUAUUGCAAGUUUAUUCAUUCUCAUUUAGUCUGUUUCUAAAUUUUAUUACAAACAAUUAUGUAAUUAAUAUUCUUAUACACACCUCCUAUUCAUAAGAGUUUCUUUAAUGAUAUGCUCCUAUCAAGCUGUGGGGAAUACACAGCUUUAUGAGAUGGUAGCACAUUGUUCUCCAAAGUAGUUAAAACAAUUUACAGUCCUACCUGCAGUGUAUGAGAAGUCCUAUUUCUUUAAAUCCUUGCAAUUGGCAUUAUAAAACUAAUUUUUGCCAGUCUGAUUAUUGUAAAAUGGCACUGCAUUUUCCUGAUUAUUUAUGAGGCUGAAUAUCUUUUUCUAUAUUUAUUGGCCUUUCAAGUUCCUCUUCUGUAUACUAACAUAUUUAUCUGUUGUCUAUUUUUCUACUGGGUUUCUCUUUCUUCCUAUUGUUUUGUAGGAGCUCUUGACACAUUCUGGAUCCCAAUACUUUUUGGUUAUAUUACUUGCUAAUAUCUUCUCCCAGUCUCAGCUUAUCUUUUACCUUUGUUUGUGGUAACUUUUGUUAGAUAGAUAUUUUUAAUUAAAUUUCAUAGAUAUUUUCCUUUAUGGUUUAACCACAAAGCUAGCAAGCAUCCACUCAUCCCGUGGGUCUCAGCUAAGCUACCACCCUCUCCAGGGUGUGUUUCCUGUGUAAGGCUGAGUCAGGGGCCUGUCCUCUGAGGUCAUAUUUCGCACCCUCGUGUUUCCCUCAUUGACUGCAUUAGCUAGUCCUGUCUAACUCCAUAUCCAUCUAAGCCCAGCCUCCUCCCUCUCUACUGGACUAUAUGCUCCAGAGGGCAGGCAGUGUCUGAGCCACCUCUGUACCCUCCAGCAAAUAGCACAGAGACACACCAGGCCUCGGUAAUGUUUGGUGAGCACGUGAGUGAAUAAGUAAAAGAAGAACAUACGGUAUCCAAUGAGGGGACUGAGCUUUGACCAGCCAUGUUGUAGCCCUCAAAAGGUGAAUUGAUAAAGAGACCUCUGAAAUCUUCUAUGACUUUGUCUCACCGUUAUAUGUGAACUAUAUAUUAUAAUCUCUGGGACCAUGUGCUGGCCUAGAAUGGAGGGCCUCUCAGCCACAAGAUGAAUAUAUUUCUAAGGUUAACCUGUCCCUAAGUAACUCAAUUCUGAAAACAUGAGUGCUAAAUGAAGUGAAGCAGAACCCUGUUAAAGGAGCAGUCUGCUUUACCACAAACUUGGCCAUCCUGUGGGUUAGAGCCUCUACUCUAUGGUUUAUACAAGUAAUCUCUCUUGGUAUGCCACGAAAGCCAACAUACCAAAGAUGUAUGUUAUAAUAUCCUGUAUAUACACUGGCUAAUGGUGGGUCACAAAUAUGGCUCCAAGCUGCCUAUAAGCCAAUACAAAGAAAGAAACAUGAUUCAUUGCAUGAGUCACAGCACCUGUAAGUUAGGAACGAACCAGCUUCUUGGGAAAACCAUUACAAUUGCUGGCAUUGAAACUUAAGAAAUAUCUCUUGUAGGGUCUUGUGAUGGGAACUCAGUGUCACACAAUGAAUUAUGUACCCACAAAAUUACAUGGCAAAUUCAAAACCAGUUUCAUAAGGCAAUUUUCUUUUCUUUUCUUUUUUUUUUUGGUGACAGAGUCUCACUGUCACCCAGGCUGGAGUGCACUGGCACGAUCUUGGCUCACUGCAACCUCUGCCUCAGGGGUUCAAGCAAUUCUCUGCCUCAGCCUCCCAAGUAGCUGGGAUUACAGGUGCCUGCUACCAUGCUUGGCUGAUUUUUUGUAUUUUUAGUAGAGAUGGAGUUUCACCAUCUUGGCCAGGCUGGUCUUGAGCUCCUGACCUUGUGAUCCACCCACCUCGGCCUCCCAAAGUGCUGGGAUUACAGCCCUGAGCCACCACGCCUGGCCCAUAAGGCAAUUUUCUUUAAUUCAUAUCAAAUAGGACAAGGGCAAUAUAAAAUUUGUAGCAAAAGUUUGUGUCUGAAUAUUGUUUCAACCCAAUAAAUCCUUGUCUGACUCUCCUCUCCCUCCUUCUUCGUGACCAGAUUUCCAGUCCCUAGGGACUCUGGAGGUGCAAGAGACAAACCACAACAGCCAGGCACUGAAAGGCAUUGGGAAGACAAUGAAGAAAAAGCAGAGACAUUCCAUAACCUCAUAGAGCUUACAGUGUCAUGGGAAGCCAAGUAGCAAGAUGUUAUAUUCUGUAUGUGAUGACCACAAUUGCUGCAGCCAUCUCAGGAUCAUGAAGGCAAUCAGCCCAAGAGGACAAGAUAACAUGUAAAGUGGCACAGCACAAAGACAGAAGGAACACAGGCCUUGCAAGACGUCAUUAAGCCUGUAAAUUAAUCUACCCUAAACAAUGCCUCUGGCUUAUUUUUAUGUGAAAUAAAAGCAUCCUAAUUAGUUUACAACAUA